AGUUCUUUCCAGAAGUUUGCUACCUCAUGCAAACACAUCAGAAGAACCAAUUGAAAGACACAAUAGAUAUGGAGGAAGCAGAAGAUGUGGGAGAACCUUUGACUGCUGAAGAACAGGAAGAAAAAGAACGCCUCUUGGAACAGGCAAGUGAAUUCAUAUUUGAUGAUUGAAUUAAAGUUGUGUUCCCACCAGCUGAUUUGGGACACUUGUUUUGUG